AUUGAACGCUGGCGGCGUGCUUAACACAUGCAAGUCGAUCGGUAACAGGUGUAGCAAUACAUGCUGACGAGAGGCGGACGGGUGAGUAAUGCUUGGGAAUCUGCCUAUUAGUGGGGGACGAACCCGGGGAAACGUCGGGCUAAUACCGCAUACGCUCUACGGAGGAAAGCCGGGGACCGCAAGGCCUGGCGCUAAUAGAUGAGCCCAAGUCGGAUUAGCUAGUUGGUAGGGUAACGGCCUACCAAGGCGACAAUCCGUAGCUGGUCUGAGAGGACGACCAGCCACACCGGAACUGAGACACGGUCCGGACUCCUACGGGAGGCAGCAGUGGGGAAUUGUUCACAAUGGGCGCAAGCCUGAUGACGCAACGCCGCGUGGGGAGUGAAGGUCUUCGGA
rnacentral:rRNA from 1 species